UUACACCUGGAGAUCUAAAAUUCAUAGGAAGCAUGUCCUGGUAUCCUAACCUAAAGUUGGUAAGGCUUGAGGUUCCUGUUUCUCUAUGUGAUAUUUUUUACAUCCACAUCCCUAAACCAUUUUAAGCACUUAGAGUUUCUGUGUCUCUAGGUGAUCCUUUUCCAUCUACACUUCUGAAGCAAUUUCCCUGCUGCAUCUCAAAGACUAAUGAUCCAGAUCGGAAAGCAGCAGCCAAACAGAUAUAGUCAGAUCGAGGUCAGAAAGUAGUGCUCAAACAUAUACCAGCAGAUCCAAAUCACAGGAAAGCACCCAAACACAUAACAGUAG